CGAACUCUGGUAUUGAUUGGUGCUUGCAUCAUGAUUUACAUUUGAGUGAGUGGCGAACUGGUGAGUAACACGUGGGAAACCUGCCCAGAAGCGGGGGAUAACACCUGGAAACAGAUGCUAAUACCGCAUAACAACUUGGACCGCAUGGUCCGAGUUUGAAAGAUGGCUUCGGCUAUCACUUUUGGAUGGUCCCGCGGCGUAUUAGCUAGAUGGUGGGGUAACGGCUCACCAUGGCAAUGAUACGUAGCCGACCUGAGAGGGUAAUCGGCCACAUUGGGACUGAGACACGGCCCAAACUCCUACGGGAGGCAGCAGUAGGGAAUCUUCCACAAUGGACGAAAGUCUGAUGGAGCAACGCCGCGUGAGUGAAGAAGGGUUUCGGCUCGUAAAACUCUGUUGUUAAAGAAGAACAUAUCUGAGAGUAACUGUUCAGGUAUUGACGGUAUUUAACCAGAAAGCCACGGCUAACUACGUGCCAGCAGCCGCGGUAAUACGUAGGUGGCAAGCGUUGUCCGGAUUUAUUGGGCGUAAAGCGAGCGCAGGCGGUUUUUUAAGUCUGAUGUGAAAGCCUUCGGCUCAACCGAAGAAGUGCAUCGGAAACUGGGAAACUUGAGUGCAGAAGAGGACAGUGGAACUCCAUGUGUAGCGGUGAAAUGCGUAGAUAUAUGGAAGAACACCAGUGGCGAAGCGGCUGUCUGGUCUGUAACUGACGCUGAGGCUCGAAAGUAUGGGUAGCAACAGGAUUAGAUACCCUGGUAGUCCAUACCGUAACGAUGAUGCUAGUGUUGAGGUUUCGCCCUCAGUGCUGCAGCUACGCAUAGCAUCCGCCUGGGGAGUACGCCGCAGCUGAAACUCC
rnacentral:rRNA from 2 species